GGAUGGGUGGCCGAGUGGUUGAAGGCACCGGUCUUGAAAACCGGCAAAUGUGAAAGCAUUUCGUGGGUUCGAAUCCCACCCCAUCCGCCA
rnacentral:tRNA from 1 species